CUGAGUUUUCAGCAGCUGCUGAUCUGGUGCUAGGCAGAAAUUUCCUUCUCAUUGGUCCCCUUCGAUAAGGAGGCACUCCGUACGGCUUUUCACGGCCUGAGCGGAGGAUCAUUUUGAAAUUUGUUGAGAAACUCUGGUAACCUGAGUUGUCUCUCAUUCCUAGUCCUGAAGUAUAAGUUCAUAUUUCAGUUGAGAAACAAGUUUGAAAAUGGUAAAAUUUCAAGACAUGACAUUCAAGGAAAUCGGGAUAAAUCUAAUAAACAUUAUAGCUUGCAUGAUUUAAGCCUGUGUCUUAAAAAGCAAGAACAGAGUAUUUCCAAUGGCAGUAAUUCAGUUGGGUAUAUCUAAAUUUCUACUAAGAAGUAUAUGUGAAGUUCUGUUAAAGGAAUGUAUUGAAAAAGACUUACCUCUAGACAAAAUAGGACUGGUUUAUGUUAGUUCAGAUUUUUAAUUUACACUUUUCAGCCAUAGCAAUCUUUCUGCAGUUUCUGGUGGCUGGAUUGAAAAAUCAUACUCUUUCUGUCCCUCAGAAGUACCUUGGUUUAAGAUCAUUUUCAAAGCAUUCAUAAAUGAUAGCUCACGAUGCUAACUUCAAAAUACUAUAGCCUAACUUUCAGUAAAGACAUGCAACUAUACUGUAAUCUUAAACAGAGAGUCAGGACAGAGAACUGGAGUUUGUAAACUUGAGUAGCGUAUCAGAAUAAUUCAUUCAUGAAUACAACAACUGGCUGCAAGAAAAAAAAAUCAACCUCCAACCAUUCGUAUAAUUCAGAUAAUUACUGAUUCAUCUACAGUUUAAUCAUUUGACUUCAGUGUAUUCUGCAUUUUUCAAAUGAUGCUGUACUUGUGAUUACAUCUACUAAAACAACGUGUUUCUCUUUUUGAAUGACAGAUGAAUAAACGAAUUUAAGAAUUACCUCAGAUAGAUAUCCUAAGGAAAGGUUAGCAUCUAAGAAUGGGAAAUACAUUGACAAGCGAACUGUCCAGCCAGCUAAUGGACUAUUAGCACACAGCUUGAAUCACUGCACUUCAGAAAAGCUGAGGACAAUACUUCAGUUUGAAGAAAGGCAGAUUGGGUUCCUCACAUCUAAGUACUUUUCUGAAGUCAACAGUUUGUGACCACUGCUUAUGGCAAAAUGCACAUCACAGAAGACACCAGGCUUCAGUUGUUUACAGCACCCUGGGAAAAUGAACUAAGUGAAGACAAGCAUAGCUUUAGCCCCAUAAUUUUAGCUUUGCAUAGAAUAACUGAAUAUCAGCUAGGCCAGACAGCCUGUGGCUGUGGCAUGACAGCUGUAAUUUAUGAAAUCAGUGAGGGAGGUGAGUUUUGUAUUCUAGUUCAAUUCAGUUCUCUGAUACAAUAUUUCACAUCAGUUAUUUAUGUGAAAUGGUAGAAAUGAAGGGCUUCUUUCACUUCAGUUCUCCUGUUACUAAAUUACACAAGGCUAACUAAGGCUCUUUCUUACUUUUUGACUCAGUUAAGAAUGAACACUGAGUUAGCCUAUGAAAAAGUGAAAUAUCCCUAGUAGGAAUAUAUUUUUUUCUUACUUACUAAAUUGUCUCAUUUUUCAAAUGUCUGGUAACAAAUAGUCAGGGGUAGAAAAUAAAGGCAAGGUCUUCUUCAUCUUUCUGAAACUGCUUUAUCAUUGAAGUAAACUAAACGAAAAAAGAAGACCGUUUGUGAAGUCUUAACUGAACCUGACCUCUGCAACCUCCUCUCUGAAUCAGGCUGCAGAGUAGCUGGGAAAUAAUACCAGCUUGUGGAUCUUCAGAGGUAUUACUGUGCUAGGAGUUCAGCAUUAACAACGCGUCAAGACCUAGUUAGACCUAGGGAUGCUCAAAAAUAGGCAUUUGAUCCCUCUUUGAACAUUUUUAAUGAAAGUAUAAGUACUAGUUUGACUGCACUUGAUCAGAAGUUCAGAAGAUCCAAAUUCUUGAUUUUUACAGCUAGUGAGAUAGCCAGGGAACUGUCUUAUUAUUCCACUGACUCUGUCCCUCAUAGACUGCAGUUAUUAAUUACAACUUAUGUUCAGUUAGGCCUAAAUGCUUAUUGAAGUGAAAAUUAAUUUUAUGAAGAGGUAAAGCGAUGCCAUGCAAACCACUGAGACACAAGGAGUCUUUCGUCUGGGUUUUUUAUAGUCAUCACCUCCAUGAGAAGACAAAGAUGAUACAAGCUAGAACCCCAAAGAACUCCUGGGGAGGGCAGAGGAAUUUUCAAACAUUUUCAAAAGCAUGCCUACGAAGUGGAAAAAUUCUUAGAAAACUUUCUACUCAGAACAGUGGGUUCUGAGUAGAGCUGAGUAGAACAGCACUAGUUCAGAAGGACUGUACUCAAGUUCAAUUAUUUUGGGUUAUUUUAAUCAGCAGACAUUUAAAAUUGAGAAAUUGUGAAAGUUUGUGUUAGAUCUUAGUUCUGUUGGCACUGUAGGAUAAAUAAAUCUCUCUACAAUGAUUUAAAAAUAUACACUUCCAAGCUUCCACGGCUUAAAUUUCCACAUGCGACCCAAAGCAGUGUGUGAAAUAAAGACACUCUCAUUCUGGUAAUCCUUUCCUCUUCCACCAUGUACUUACAGACAUGCCACCUGCUCCCACUUUUUUUCAUUUUUACUCAUAGUUAUUUCUGUUAUGUGUUUUUGUCGUAAUAUCUUUUCACACCCAUUUCUUCAGUUCAUUAAUUUUCCUCUUCUGUGAGGUAUACACAGCUUGAGGAGGGCUAGAAAGAGGAGGUGCAUAUUCUUGGCUGCAUACCUGGUCAGACACCAUUUGUUUUGGAAACAGUGGUCUCUUUCAUUUUGUUUCACAUCCACACUAACUAGAAGGGAAGCAGAAAAGUUGAUCUUUGUUUCUUCAGGCUGCUGGAAUCAGCUACACUUAAGCACACUGGUGAUCAGUGGCAACAAGAUCACCCUGAAAGCAUUGGAAGUUUCAGUCUUCUUCCUGCUAUAUACAACAUGUAUUUGCAUGAAGGCAGUAAAGAAAAUGGAUUUUAUAGAAAAUGUUACAUAAUCUGUAUAACUUCCUGCCCUUUUGUUCUUAGGCAUCAUUCACUCUUUCACUUAUCCCAGGCACAUCUCAGUACAUAGAAACAGAGCUUAAAAAACUUGGAGUCCAUUCACACAGUAGAAUGAUCCAAAUAUUAUCUAAUUCUAUACUGACACAUUCACAGCAAGUGCUCUCUAAGACCAUUAGGUCAGAUCUGUUUUUAUUGUGCUGGGCUGCAGCUGACAUUGCUAGUUCCAAACAACAUAAUUAACUUCUCAAAGUUUCUUACAAUUUAACAGUAGAUUAAAAGGAACUUGUGCCAACCUAUGGUCAAUAAAUAAUGAAGAUGUAAUUACUUUCAAAUCAGCUAGUUUUUACAAAAUCUAGAGACUCUAAAAUAGAUAUAGAAACAUAAAGACUGGAUGCAAACUAGGCUGCAGAAGUGGCUUUGGAAGAGAAGCUUAAAGUCAGCAGAUAAAUCAGUAUUUGUUAGAUUCUAAACAAGCAGUAUGGUAAAUAAAAUCUGAAACCGUGAAAUCCAUUCAGAACCCUGCUAUAAUCUUUCACUCGUGCUUACCUUAUUGCGCCUGCUUCUGUCUCUGCUGGGAUACUUCCACUCGGCAGAAUGCUACUAGCAGCUCUGCUGCAGCCAAUUUAUUUCAUGAACACAUGGAAGGGAGCCAAACCUCAGGAUAAGAGAAAAGUCUGACGCAUAUCUAUUCAUUUAGAUCUUUAUACCCACUCGCUUAUAUCAAUAUUUUUAUGACUCACUGGUGACGGAAUUCUAGGAAUGUCAGAAAUAGUAAAUACAAUUUACUUAAAUUUUAUUUCCUUCAAGUGCUCCAGAAAAUGUCUUCCCUGGAACUUCAUGCCAUUUCUUAGCUUGUAGUUCUGCAUAGAGCCUGAAUAACCCCACAGAUCUUACUCAGACAUUGUAUGUCACUGGUAUUGUUGCUGCUGUCUGUUUCUUCAAAGGUUGAUUCAAGGGCAGCUGCAGGGUUUCUGGCAAUGCCGACUUUCUGCAAGUAAGACUGAAGCCUCAGUUGCAGGAAGCUUGAAACAAGUAAAUUGCUCAAAUAUUUACCCACCUAUUAAAAAGGGAUUUGCAGUCUGUUGUAACAAUUGUAAUAGUUGGACUGCUUCUGGUAUGAGCAUGAACUUGUUUAAAGCGGAUGUGCUGUAUUGAUCUGCCUAUAAAGCUUAUAUAAUUUUUUAUCAUAAAGGGCUUAGCUCUAUCAUGAUCACAUUUGCUAUGUUCAGUUGGCUUUAUCUAUCUACUUCCUACCAGACAGUCCUUUCUAUUCAUAAGCACUAGAUUUGUUUUAAUGCAAGCCUUACAUUUUUACAGGAGUGAACCAUACAUCCAUGCACCCCCCUGAAAUAAUGAAACUCCGCUAAGAACAAUUACUACUCCUUCUUGGCAGUUUUCUAAAAAACUGAUAUUCAGCAAAUCCAAACAGAGCUGUACCUUUUAUGCAGGAUUUGUAUACCAUGUCAAGACAUUUCUCAAUUUUACCUGUAUCUGGUGUAUAAAAUACCUCUUUUAGUUCAUUAAGCCCCCACUGGACUCUGGAAAUACAUCAGGUCAAUAGAAAGACUUCGUUAGAAGAUACAUUUCACAACAAAGCAAUGCAGAACUUUGAAAUCUCACACCUUUGCCUGUCACUCAAGCAGACACAGAAACGUGGGUAUUAUUCUAAAUGUGUGACUGUUGUUUUAGUACAGGACAAACGCAAUUAAAAACACACAUGAUGCAGCAUUUUUAGAAUACCCAGUUUUUGAGAGGCUGCUCUCGGGUCAGAUCUGAAAAUGCUGCAGCAGCUGUGUUUGUUGUUAAGAGUGGCAGGAUUCAGGUUGCAAGAUACAACAAAAACAGCCACAAUGAGAAACUAUUUAAAAUUAUUUGUAAUGGAUAUGAUCUGGGUAGAUUAAGCCACAUAGAUACUGAGGAUGUAUCAACAUCACAUCUGACCUUACAGUUAACAAACUUCAGUAUUUAUUUUAAACAUUUCUCUUAUUUAAUCUGUGACUGACUACGUCACUGAACAUUCAGAAAACAGGGCCUUUCUAAAUUCACGUUAGUAGUAAUCUUUGACAGUAAAUGAAUGAAGUUUUAGUUUAACGUAACUCAAAGCAUCUGUAACAAUAUUUUUCUGAUGUUGUUCUCAUGCUCUUUUUAAUAAUCUUGGCCUUGCAAUUACAGACAUGGCUACAUUGGGCUCCUGUAGGAAGCAAUUUUCUUUGGAAUUAUCCCUUCUUCCCCUCCCUUGUCCUACCGUUUGGUUGCAGCUCCCAUUUUGGGAUCAGUAACGCUUGCAGAAAGCUCAUCAAUGAACCUGCCAUGCAGCACCUUCCCCAGUCAGCAUUUUAUUCUACCAGUGAUUACAGCAUCAUAAGCAGGAGCUAUCAAUGGGGGAUUUGUGCAGGUCCUGAUGAAAAACACUGAGUUACUGUGGGAGAAGUACUGUGAGGGUGACCAUCCAUUCUACUGGAAAGAGUGCCCAGGGUAGGACACUUAUCCAGGAAACCCCAGCAGAUGGUCAUCUCUUUUCUAUGUCUCUCUCCCUUCCUCCAUCUCUGUCUCUCCUCCUUGGUGCCCACAUCUCUCAUUUUCCUUUUGUUCCAUCCUCUCUCUCCCUCUUCUUUCUUGUUUUCUUAUUUUCCUCCAGAUGUGGCUCCAUCAUUAGAAUCACUGUGGUUCAUCAGUUGUGGACUGCACCAAUAGAUCUUCAUUUACAUGAACUUAGAAUGCUUGCUGUAUCCUUACUGUUACAACAGCUUCAGUCUGCCACAGGAUAUAUUUUCAAAUUCAAAUGGAUAUCUUACAUCAAAUUAUUUUCAAGGGGAACAGCCUUUAGAAAACAGUUCAUAUUUAGAAAAAAAAUCAAUGAAAUUACUACACGAUGAGUUUUAGUACUAUCAUCAGUUCCUAAAUUAUUCGUUUUGUUAAGUCUUUUAACAGAAGAGCUUGUACAAACCUUCUUAAACUUUUCAUUAUCAUGCUUUUUAUUAUACCAGGUGAUGCUUAAUGUUUUAUGGAUGACAGAGCAGUGAAAACAACAUACAAGUUAAGCCUUAUCUACAUUAAUGAGAUAUAGGAAGUUUUAGGAUGGAAAAUAACACGGAGAACAACUGCAUAAUACUUAAAUACUUUUUUAAUGCAAAAAGGCGAUAGUCUACAGAAAGUUGGUAUUUUCAGUAAUAACAAAAAGGAAAUGUUUCUGGUACAAUAUGCAGUUGCUCGAUUAUUGAAGAAAAAGUAAAUAUCAGCAAAUACAUUUUAUCAGCCAAUAAAUUUUGCAAAGAGUUUGCAGGAGAAAUAAUUCAAAGUCUCUCAAACAGCAAUAAAAUUAAAGCAUAGGCAAUGGACCAUACUAGAAACAGAGAUCUGAUGUAAACAUUUAUUUCAACAUGUGUGUAUUGCCAGAUUUACACUGGAGAAAAGUUUGAUGGCAAAAAGUGCCAUUCUAAAGAAAGCCCAUCCUAUGUAUUUUCAGUGAAAAGGACGGAAAAUGUUCAAUCAGAUGUGAAACAUAGGAAUUUCAGAUUUUGAAGAUAACGGGUUAAAAAUUCAAAGUUAGCUCUAGUUUUGAAUAAAGAAUUUCUAAUCCAAAACCCAGUGGCUUAUUAGAGAACAUAGAUUAUAUUUUCAUUAUACCAGAACGUGAAUUAAUAUUUGUAGCAGAACUUCCUGUUUUACUUCACACUGAGGUCUUUUCUCCCCCAGAGUCACGAAGACACCAAAUUCAAUAUAUCUAGCAGCUUAUUGAAACAAACUGACACAGCAAUCUGACAGGACAUUUCUUUUUCCUGGAAACUGUAGGCUUUUUUAAAUAUGUUAAGUAUAUUUCAAUAUUAGAAUGUAACAGUCAACUUUAUCUUACUUCAUAUCCUGUUCUCAUGGCAUGCCAAAGACAUAUAUAGGACUUAUCUGAGUCUACUGUCUACUAUCUAUUGCUCCCAGUACUUCCAAACUGUCCUUAAAUAAUUCUACAGUGAAGAUUUCUACUGUCCAGAACAUCACGUACUUAAUUAAACCAACAUGUAUUUCUCUAUACAGCAGAAGACUAUUGACUUAGUAAUGCCUGUGUUGACAACUGCUGCAGAGAAAUGGCUGUUCCUUAAAACACACCCACAGGAGUGAAAAACUGCUAUAUAAAUGGAAGCUAUUUCUUCUCAAAUUCCAUUUUGCUAUUUGAUAUUUCUCAAAGUCUAGAGCUCUUACACUGGAUGUUACUGCAAUUGCUUUUUACUCAUUAUGGGUUACAUCAGUUUUGGUGCUUUCAGGAAUUAUAGAAGGGUUUUGUCUCUUGAACCUGAGAUGACAAACAUUACACUUUGUUCCUUCUCUAGGGAACACAUGGGUAUGCAGAUGAAGCUGAGCAAAAGCAGUCCAUUGUAUGGCAGUAUGCUGAAAUAGACAGCACACAUCUUUCCAUCGCAUACAGAAAACCUGGAGGCUGUCAGGAUAUCUUCCAGUACCACAACAGGUUCUCCUUCAUCAAGGCAAAAAUGAGACACAUUAACUUUGGCUUUAGCCAUUAUGUUUCUAGGGAUCUUGGGAGUGACACAGUAUAAAGAGACUUUCUAAAAGUUUGCAUAUUCUUAUUAAAAGUUAUAGGAAGGGAGGCCAAUUUGUAUCAUUAUGAAGAAGUAUUUUCUUGUUUACUUAGUCCUAUUGAUUUCAAUGAGGAUUUUCAGUAAGAGGCAAUGAAGACACAGGUUCAGAAGGAUCCAGCUGAGGAACUUUGAAAACAACAGGCUGUACACAAGCCCUGUGUGAGUUAACAGAGUGCAUCCACAAGUGCUGAGGGAACUCACAGACAUCACUGUGAGGCCAUGCUUCCUUUGAAAAUUCAUGGGAAAUGGGAGAAGUUCCCGAGGACUGGAAGAGAGCAAAUGCCACUCCUGUCUCCAAGAGGAACCAAUGACAGAUCCUUUGAAGUAAAGACCAGUCAGCUUCACCUUGAUCCCAGUGAAGGCAAUGUAGCAAAUAAUAUUAGAAGGCGUUUCUAAACUUUAUGAAGGACAAAGUGGUGACUGGGAGUAGACAGGAUGGGUUCACAGCAAUAAAAUCACCUUUAUUCUGCUGAUCACGACAUUCUGGGCCUGGUGAUUCAGUGUCCAACCCACGUCACUGUCUGCCCAUUCACCCUGUAAUUCAGCAUCUUGUCUGUGAGGAUCUCAUGGGAGACCCAACAGAAAUCCACUGCUCUUCACACAUCCAGCAGGCUAGUCACUUCACAGAAAUUUAUAAAGCUGAUCAAGUAUGACUUCUCUUUGGUGAAUUGCUGCUGACUAUUACUAAUGAUGUUUUUCUCCUUCAUAUGCCUGAAAAUGCUUUCUGGGAUCACAUUUCCAAGGUUCAAAUUGAUGCUGACUGGCCUUUUACUCCUCAGAUCCUCCUUCUUGCCUUUCUCGAAGCUAGAAGUGGCAUCUGUUUUGCUUCAGACUUUGGACACUUCUCUCAGCUGCCAGAAUCAAUGAAAGAUGAUAAAGUGUGGCCUCACAAUGACAUCUGCUGGCUCUCAGCACUGCAGUUGCAGCUCGUCAGGGCCUGCAAGUAUGUUUAAGUAAGCAUUUCCUGACCUGACCAUUUUUCACAAAGAGUGUAACGUACUUGUUCCAGCCUUUCCAUCUGUCUCCAAGACCUGAGUUCUUGAAGGUCAGUGUUGCCAGUAGAUUGAGGCAAAGAAAGCAUUCAGUACUUUGCUGUUUUUCCUGUCCUAUGUAACCAGGUCCUCAUCUCAUUCAGCCCACAUUCUCUCUUGUCCAUAGAAGCUUUCCUACUGCUUUUGACAUCUCUGUUCAGAUUCAACUCCUUUAGAGCUCUAGCUUUCCUAAUGUCAUCACUGAAUAUUUGAACAGUCUCUGUGUUCUCUGCAGGUUACUCAUUCUUGCUUCCACCCUCUGUAUGCUUCACUUUUGUUUGUACACGAAUUCCUUCUUAAUUCAAGCAGACGUUAUGACCUUUUUGCCUGACUUCCUCUUUGUUGAGAUUAACCUCUCUUGAGCUGGGAUGAAGUCACCCUCCCAGCUGGGGGCCCCUCGGCUGGAAAGCUACUUGCUGGAAUUGAGCAGGUUGUCUAGAGCAGAUUUAGAAAGACUGUCUAACACCUACAGUUUUAGUCAUGGCCCAGACAUCAUAUGUCUUAGACUCUGUAGAACAUGGUCUUUAUAGCUAGUGAUUAUAAAGGAAGUGAAUGGGAAAUGUUUUAGUCAUCUAAACGUUAGCUUUUUGUAUACUUUUAAUGUCCUCACUUUCAAUCUCUCUUUGCUAUUGUACUUUUUUCUCCACUCUUCUGCAAUGAAAAAGGGAAAUGGCUGCCAUUCCUAAAAUACUGGAACAAUGAAAAACAAAUUUCAGCUUUUCAAUACAAUAUUGAAAACAAUGACUGCAAAAAUUUCAGCAUAAAUAAAUGAAAAGUGUGUGAAACAAUCUAGUGGCUGCCUUUCUCAUGCUGGGCAGCUGUAGAUGAAAUAUUCAAAGUUGGAGAUUACUAAGUCCCUGUUAGUUUUAUUUCCUAAAGAACUGAGGCUUAAGCAAUUGUGCUGUCUGUCUGUACUUCUGCCCUCUUCAGUCACUUUUGAACAUGCUGGAUUAUUUUGACCAAGUUUGCUGAGGACAUGGAAGAAGGGGCAAGCUUAGUUGAAAAAGUACACAUUCAUGAACAUUUUGUGAAGAUCAGUAGCUGGAUAGCUGGGAGGGAGAUUCUGAAAUGCAUAACUGAAUGAAAAACUGCAGCCUGAUCUCAACUGUUAUCCUUUUUCUUUGACUGAGGAGUCAGUUACUCAAUUUGUAUAUACUGGCUGGCCAGCUGCAACAAUAAAUUACAACCCACAGUGAAUAUAAAUACUGGGUUUGAUGUUAGAACUAAAGAGAUUAGGGUUUCUACACUUUUUGAUUAUCUGACAUGCUCACUCACUUGCUCACCUUCAGCAUCAUUCCCUGCAGUCCCAGCUUGCUUUCUCUGCAGGAAGGUCUCUGUUCGUCCAGAAUGGCUGUGCAGAAAGUCAUGUUGGUUCACUCUGAGCUGCCUCCUGCAGCCUCCAGUUUUGGAAACACAGUAAAAUUUUACUUCUGCUUUACCCCCUGUUGCUAAAAAAGACAUGUAAAAGAUAUCUGUAGUUUUUCAGACAUCUAUGCUGCAAUACUUUGGGUGCAAAACAGCUUGCAGCUUCAAGAACUCAGAAAAAGAGAAUGCCUCUACAGCUUAAAACUCAAGGAUGCUUUCUUUGUCAGUUUAUAUAACUACUCUGCAAUGAGAGUGGUAUUAACAACAGGAAGCAACACUGUGUCCCUAAAUGGGAGGAAGAUCCCUAAUGGCAGUGUAAUGUGUGAGAGCGUGAAAAAGAUCAUCAGAAUUCAUCUGGAACAUUUUGAAGAAGUGGACUAUUUUCACCUGCCAGAGGCUACUCACCAAGAACUGCUGCACAGCUGACAAAAAGGAAACCUUGGAUGGCAGAUCCUCAAGAGAAAAGAACUUUGGCAGUGUUUUUACUGUUCUUCCUAACCUGGUUCUGUACUGUUACAGUAGAAAUCACCAUUUUUUCUUCAUCCCACAACUUGACACAGGUAGCUUCAGACCUGCAGCAAAAUCUCCCAGUGGUUCAUACACACAUUAUAAUUCAACCAACCUAAAUGAUUCUUUGACUGUUAUGGAACAGUACUAUCUUCUUAAUAAGAAGGCUAUUGUUCAUUUAAAAAGUUGGAAUAGACAACAGCCGGAGCUAGAAAAAGAAUGUGAAUUCAUUAAGUUUGGAGUAGUUUUAGGUAAGCUAUUUCACACAUUCUGAGAAUUAUGUAUAGAUCUUUGAGGAUGUGUAUAUUACGUGUUGUAAAAGAAAAACAAUGACAGCAGAUAAAAUACAGAGUUGAAACUUACUUAUGUGUCUUGUAAUUCAAUGUAUUCUAUAAAAUUAGUAGGCACUAGAUGUUCAUUUAUGGCUUAAUAACACUGACUCCAGUCGAAGUCAAAUGUAAAGGCAGUGUCAGGCCAGGACGUAACAAAAAUACUUUGUAAUAAUACCCAAGUCGAGAAAGUGCCUUCAUUUCUGAGAAGGCUAAAUAUUGACAUUGUCAAUGGGUGCCUUGGUGCGCUACAAAUCUAGUUUUAACAUUGACUGCCAGAACUUUCAGUGGACAAAUUAACUGAUAUUUCAGAAGAACAGAUGAUUUGUUGAAGUGACAGACAUAGCAGGUUUGGGACAGCCCCUGAUAAAAGCACUAGCUGCAACAGCACCGAUAUAGUAAGUGCUAGCAAAAAUACAUGCCAUUCCAGUUAUUCUUUACAAAGAGGUGAUGCACAGGGCUUACCAAGAUGUCCUUAUCUUGAUGGAGUAAGAGGAGUGCAGCUUCCCAUCACUCAUUUAUCUUCAGUCUCUUUUCCUUUCUCUUCCCCUUCUCUUAUCCACUCUGCUUCCCUGGAUAACUUUCCUUAUAUGCUAAACUUCAUCUGUUUCCCUCCCCAGGGUGAUGUUCAACACAAUUUGAGUGGAGAGCUGAGAACAACAGUCACGUAUGUUUAGCAUGUUCUUAAAGCUCGUUAUAAUUCUCAGAGUUAAAUUUUAAUUUCAAGGUUAAAGAAGCAAAGUUUCACUGUGGGCACUGUGGCCUUGGAGAUUCUUUGUUGAAACUGUUUAACUUCUUAUUCCUGCAACCUUUUGCCAGGACUGUCUUGCCACUGCCACACUCCCCUCGUUUGGCUGUUUUUCUCACCAGCCUUGCAGUCUUCUACCUCACAGUUUAUGCAAGAAAUAAGCAGGUGCCUGCAUUUUAUCGCCUUUUGUGAAAAUCUCACAUGCCUUUAGAAACUGUGGAUGCUUUCAUACUCAGCCAGAAAUACUCUCUUCAGAUGCCUGAACUUGACCUGCUAAGUUCCACUUUACACAGCAGUCAGAGGCUGAACAAGCCCAGCUCUCUGAUCAUUUCAUAGCCCUCCUCUGGACCUGCUCCAACAGCUCCACAUCCUUCUUGUGUUGGGUCCCCAGACCUGGAUGGCGUACAGCAGAGGAGAGGAGCAUCUGAGAAGAGGAGGAUAAUCACUUCUCUUGCCCUGCUGGCCACCUUAUACAUGUCUCUGCCUUGAUGGAAAACAGCUUGAGAGAAGCAUCUAUGAAAGCUGGCUGUGACCAAGCAUGGGUGAACAGAAGGAGACUUCAUGGUGUCCUUACAGAGUGCAGUAAGGAUAGGAAUAGUUCUGCAAUACCUUGCCACGAAGCCUGAUUUGCUCCUGCCAGGAUGGUGUCACAAGCUUGUUUUCUGCAGUGACCUCUGGAGAAAGGUACCACACAGAGAGAGAGCAACCGCGACCUAAGGGAGGAGCAGAGGGCUGCUCAUGUUAAACAUCCUUGAUAUUUUGUUUCGUUUUGUACAUUCAUUGUCUAUCGCAUAGCAAAGUACCCUAAGCUUUCGUGUGCGUUCAACGCUGCGGGCACAAACACAUUUCCC
ensembl:lncRNA